rnacentral:miRNA from 1 species
UUUUUAGUAUAAAUAUACACCAUGCAUAUACUUAGGAUAUACUUAUACUAAAA